UACGUAGGGUGCGAGCGUUAAUCGGAAUUACUGGGCGUAAAGCGUGCGCAGGCGGUUCGUUAAGUCAGAUGUGAAAGCCCCGGGCUCAACCUGGGAACUGCAUUUGAAACUGGCGGGCUAGAGUACGGUAGAGGGGGAUGGAAUUCCGCGUGUAGCAGUGAAAUGCGUAGAUAUGCGGAGGAACACCGAUGGCGAAGGCAAUCCCCUGGACCUGUACUGACGCUCAUGCACGAAAGCGUGGGGAGCAAACAGG
rnacentral:rRNA from 1 species